rnacentral:rRNA from 1 species
AUGCUGCCCCUCACCAAUCCCUUGCGACCUUCCAUCUCGGCGUGCCGUCCCUCGUCAACACUCCCCUGCGACCCGGCUUCCCGGUGCGCCGCCCCUCGUCAGCGCGCCCCUACGAAUCAACUGCGUCUACUAUUCCUCCGCACGGGGGCCGGCGGCUGUGGGGAGAGUUGCCGCUACAACCACCCUCGCGAUCAAGCUAUCGUGGUGAGCCGGGCUGCUUCUCCUCUCCCAAUUUUAUUCCCCCCAUUUCGCUCCGCUUCACUUCAGUCUAGUUGUAAAUUGCUACAUACCACUUACCAGUCCCUGAUGAUGACCAACAGGUUAAAUUAUAGCUGGUUGGUGCGGAGAGGAGACUCCAGCUGA